rnacentral:rRNA from 1 species
AGAGUAGAGUGGCGCACGGGUGAGUAACGCGUAAGUUAUCUACCCUCCCAUCUGGAAUAACUCACCGAAAGGUGUGCUAAUACCGGAUACGUUGGAAACAAGAAAGGUGGCCUCUAUUUAUACGCUACCGUGGGGGGAUGAGCUUGCGUACCAUUAGCUAGUUGGUAGGGUAAUGGCCUACCAAGGCAACGAUGGUUAGCGGGUCUGAGAGGAUGAUCCGCCACACUGGAACUGGAACACGGACCAGACUCCUACGGGAGGCAGCAGUGAGGAAUAUUGCGCAAUGGGGGAAACCCUGACGCAGCGACGCCGCGUGGAUGAUGAAGGCCUUUGGGUCGUAAAAUCCUGUCAGAUGGAAAGAAAUGCUAUUGGUUUAAUAUGCCUUUAGUUUGACGGUACCAUCAAAGGAAGCACCGGCUAACUCCGUGCCAGCAGCCGCGGUAAUACGGAGGGUGCAAGCGUUGUUCGGAAUUACUGGGCGUAAAGCGCGCGUAGGUGGUCAUAUAAGUCAGAUGUGAAAGUCCACGGCUCAACCGUGGAAGUGCAUUUGAAACUGUAUGACUUGAGUAUUGGAGGGGGUAGUGGAAUUCCCGGUGUAGAGGUGAAAUUCGUAGAUAUCGGGAGGAAUACCGGUGGCGAAGGCGACUACCUGGCCAAAUACUGACACUGAGGUGCGAAAGCGUGGGGAGCAAACAGGAUUAGAUACCCUGGUAGUCCACGCCGUAAACGAUGUCAACUAGGUGUUGGGAAGGUUAAUCUUCUCAUUGCCGCAGCUAACGCAUUAAGUUGACCGCCUGGGGAGUACGGUCGCAAGA